rfam:Parcubacteria bacterium GW2011_GWC1_41_7 TT76_C0005, whole genome shotgun sequence.
UUUUUUGAGAGUUUGAUCCUGGCUCAGGGUGAACGUUGGCGGUUUGGAUUAGGCAUGCAAGUCGAGCGGAUUGAUAUCAGAGCUUGCUCUGGUAAAGGUCAGCGGCGAACGGGGUAGUAACACGUAUCAAAUCUGCCCUCAAGCAAGGAAUAAUUCGGCGAAAGCCGAACUAAUACCUUAUGGUCCGAUACGUCGCAAGAUGUAUCGGUAAAGGAGCAAUCCACUUGAGGAAGAGGGUGCGUCCGAUCAGCUAGUUGGUUGAGGUAAUUGCUCACCAAGGCGAAGACCGGUAGGGGAUCUGAGAGGGUGGCCCCCACCAAAGGCACUGAGACACGGGCCUUACUCCUACGGGAGGCAGCAGCCGAGAAUAUUGCGCAAUGGGCGAAAGCCUGACGCAGCGAAACCGCGUGCCGGAAGAAGCUCUUCGGAGUGUAAACGGCUUUUGUGAGGGAGGAAAUUAUUGACAGUACCUCACGAAUAAGAGACGACUAACUUCGUGCCAGCAGUCGCGGUAAUACGAAGGUCUCAAACGUUACCCGGAUUUACUGGGCGUAAAGCAUUCACAGGUGGUUAAGUAAGUCUUCUUUUAAAGCUUUAAAGCUCAACUUUAAAGAGGGGGAGGAUACUGCUUGACUAGAGAUUACCAGGGGCUAGUGGAACGCACGGUGUAGGGGUGAAAUCCGAUGAUAUCGUGUGGAACGCUAAAAGCGAAGGCAGCUGGCUAGGGUAAUUCUGACACUCAUUGAAUGAAAGCGUGGGUAGCAAACCGGAUUAGAUACCCGGGUAGUCCACGCUGUAAACGAUGGAUGCUAACUUUGGGGAAUCUCGACCUUCUCCGAGGUAAAGCUAACGCGUUAAGCAUCCCGCCUGGGAACUACGAUCGCAAGAUUAAAACUCAAAGGAAUAGGCGGAAGCCCGCACAAGCGGUGGAGCAUGUGGUUUAAUUCGAUAGUAAGCGUGAAUCUCACCAGGGCUUGACAUGUUACUGACAAUAUUUCAUCCGAAAGGUUGGAAUUUCCGUAGCUUGCUAUGGAUCGGUAAUACAGGCGCUGCAUGGCCGUCGUCAGCUCGUGAUGUGAAUCGUAACCUUAAGUGGCAUAACGAGCGCAACCCUUUUCGACUGUUAUACGUAUCAGCCGAGACCGCCGUGUUUAACACGGAGGAAGGAGAGGAUGACGUCAGGUCCGCAUGGCCCUUAUGUCCUGGGCUACACACAUGCUACAAUGCUGUGGUACAAUGGGUCGCGAAACCGCGAGGUGGAGCUAAUCCCAUAAAACCCAGCUCAGUUCGGAUUGAAGUCUGAAAUUCGACUUCAUGAAGCUGGAAUCGCUAGUAAUCGCGAAUCAGAUAUGUCGCGGUGAAUACGUUCUCGGGCUUUGCACUCACUGCCCGUCAGGCCAGAGGAGUUCUUUCUACUUGAAGGCUCGCUUUAUGCGGGACUAGGGUGGGGGGAGUGACUAGGGCUAAGUCGUAACAAGGUAUCGCUACCGGAAGGUGGCGAUGGACUAAUUCUGUU